rnacentral:rRNA from 1 species
AGGACGAACGCUGGCGGCGCGCUUAACACAUGCAAGUCGAGCGAGAACCGAAGCCUUCGGGCAUCGGGGAAAGCGGCGAACGGGUGAGUAACACGUGGGCAACCCACCCUUGGUACCGGGAUAGCCCGGGGGAAACCCGGAUUAAUACCGGAUGGCCCAGCAGCCUUUCGGGGCGGCUGGAAAAGGGAGCUUCGGCCUCCGACCAAGGACGGGCCCGCGGCGGAUUAGCUUGUUGGUGGGGUAACGGCCUACCAAGGCGACGAUCCGUAGCUGGUCUGAGAGGACGAUCAGCCACACUGGGACUGAGACACGGCCCAGACUCCUACGGGAGGCAGCAGUGGGGAAUCUUGCGCAAUGGGCGAAAGCCUGACGCAGCAACGCCGCGUGCGGGAUGAAGGCCUUCGGGUUGUAAACCGCUUUCAGCAGGGACGAAAUUGACGGUACCUGCAGAAGAAGCCCCGGCAACUACGUGCCAGCAGCCGC